AGUGAACGCUGGCGGUAGGCCUAACACAUGCAAGUCGAACGGCAGCACAGUAAGAGCUUGCUCUUACGGGUGGCGAGUGGCGGACGGGUGAGGAAUACAUCGGAAUCUACUUUUUCGUGGGGGAUAACGUAGGGAAACUUACGCUAAUACCGCAUACGACCUACGGGUGAAAGCAGGGGAUCUUCGGACCUUGCGCGAUUGAAUGAGCCGAUGUCGGAUUAGCUAGUUGGCGGGGUAAAGGCCCACCAAGGCGACGAUCCGUAGCUGGUCUGAGAGGAUGGUCGGCCACACUGGAACUGAGACAGGGUCCAGACUCCUACGGGAGGCAGCAGUGGGGAAUAUUGGACAAUGGGCGCAAGCCUGAUCCAGCCAUACCGCGUGGGUGAAGAAGGCCUUCGGGUUGUAAAGCCCUUUUGUUGGGAAAGAAAAGCAGCAGGUUAAUACCCCGCUGUUCUGACGGUACCCAAAGAAUAAGCACCGGCUAACUUCGUG
rnacentral:rRNA from 1 species